rnacentral:misc_RNA from 1 species
AAGUCGUAACAAGGUUUCCGUAGGUGAACCUGCGGAAGGAUCAUUACAACGUAUCCAACGUAAACAAACGCGAACCUUCCCUUUGGUUAGUGGAGCUGAAGCAGGCCGCUGCUCGGUAAUAAAGUUAGUCAGGCUGAACUGCUAAUGUAGUGCUCUGUCGAUGGAGCCAUCUGGAGAGUCCAGAUGCCUGGAGCAUCAGUUCUUGGCCCGGAUUAGUCUUUCGGAGACGUGUCCGAACUUUGUCCACCCCAAAGUGUAUCCAACCAUCGGUUAUUGAAACCCUUUAUUAACUCUGUAACCUUUUGUACUGAACUUUGGUAGCGCUGUGGUAGUCCUUGUUGGCUUCGGUCACGGAUUGCAUUAACGCAGUGUUUACUAAUUUAUUACGUAAAUAAGAACAACUCUUAACAACGGAUAUCUUGGCUCUCGUAUCGAUGAAGAACGGC